rnacentral:ncRNA from 1 species
AAUAAAACUACAAUUUAUGGUGCCUUACAAAGGAGAAUAGGGAAUCAGGUGAAAAUCCUGAACGAACCCAUCACUGUAAUGGUUUUGUUUUUGCAGAUGCCACUGGCAACGGGAAGGCGCAAAAACAGAUAAACCAGAGUCAGGAGACCUGCCAUGAAUUGAUAUAGUAU